ACUCCUACGGGAGGCAGCAGUGGGGAAUAUUGGACAAUGGGCGCAAGCCUGAUCCAGCCAUGCCGCGUGAGUGAUGAAGGCCCUAGGGUUGUAAAGCUCUUUCACCGGUGAAGAUAAUGACGGUAACCGGAGAAGAAGCCCCGGCUAACUUCGUGCCAGCAGCCGCGGUAAUACGAAGGGGGCUAGCGUUGUUCGGAUUUACUGGGCGUAAAGCGCACGUAGGCGGACUAUUAAGUCAGGGGUGAAAUCCCGGGGCUCAACCCCGGAACUGCCUUUGAAACUGGUAAUCUUGAGUUCGAGAGAGGUGAGUGGAAUUCCGAGUGUAGAGGUGAAAUUCGUAGAUAUUCGGAGGAACACCAGUGGCGAAGGCGGCUCACUGGCUCGAUACUGACGCUGAGGUGCGAAAGCGUGGGGAGCAAACAGGAUUAGAAACCCCUGUAGUCCC
rnacentral:rRNA from 1 species